UUUUUCCACGAGGGGAGCCUUUAUGGCUGAGAGUGAACUUGAUGUUCUGACCCUUUGAACCUGUUAGUUAGUACUAUCGUAGGGAUGUGGCGUAUUUAUUAC
rfam:Bacillus sp. LL01 scaffold2.1, whole genome shotgun sequence.